rnacentral:rRNA from 1 species
GUGGGGAAUAUUGGACAAUGGGCGAAAGCCUGAUCCAGCCAUGCCGCGUGUGUGAAGAAGGUCUUCGGAUUGUAAAGCACUUUAAGUUGGGAGGAAGGGCAGUAAGUUAAUACCUUGCUGUUUUGACGUUACCGACAGAAUAAGCACCGGCUAACUUCGUGCCAGCAGCCGCGGUAAUACGAAGGGUGCAAGCGUUAAUCGGAAUUACUGGGCGUAAAGCGCGCGUAGGUGGUUUUGUAAGUUGGAGGUGAAAUCCCCGGGCUCAACCGGGGAACUGCAUCCAAAACUGCAUGACUAGAGUACGGUAGAGGGUAGUGGAAUUUCCUGUGUAGCGGUGAAAUGCGUAGAUAUAGGAAGGAACACCAGUGGCGAAGGCGACUACCUGGACUGAUACUGACACUGAGGUGCGAAAGCGUGGGGAGCAAACAGGAUUAGAAACCCGGGUAGUCC